rnacentral:lncRNA from 1 species
GUCUAUGUGAGCGAUAAGGCGUGGCUCGUUGUCAUGGGCAAGGAAAGAUGGCUUCAUCCCUGGCUAAUAAACGAAUCUUCCUUGUAGGGUUGAAGUGACUACCAAACCUUGAGCUGGGCCUAAUAAUGGAAUUUCUUGGACAUAGUCCGAGUCAUAGUCGCGAUCCUUAACUUUCCCGUGUUUGGGUUAGGUUCGAGUAAGGAGACUUUGGUGGACCUUGGCUGAGUUGCGGAGUCCGUACGGGAAUCAUCUUCGAGUUGAAAUCGACUUGCA